rfam:Tupaia chinensis contig236703, whole genome shotgun sequence.
AUUGCUUUUUGAUUGUUUUUGCUAAAAUAAAGUGUAGUAUAUGUUCUUAGUAGUUUAAUAUUUGAUAUGUCAUCUAUCCAAGGACAAUAUAGUAAAUGGAUUUUUAGAGCAGGAAGAUGAAGGGGAGCUUGCUCUAUCCAGUCCAUACAUUGAGCUGGUAUUGCAGUACUCCCAGGAAUGGUGCACCACUU